rnacentral:rRNA from 1 species
AACGAACGCUGGCGGCAUGCCUAACACAUGCAAGUCGAACGAAACCUUCGGGUCUAGUGGCGCACGAGUGCGUAACGCGUGGGAACCUGCCCUUAGGUUCGGAAUACCUCCCCGAAAGGGGUGCUAAUACCGGAUAAUGUCUUCGGACCAAAGAUUUAUCGCGUUUGGAUGGGCCCUCGUUGGAUUAGCUAGUUGUUAGGGUAAAAGCCUACCAAGGCGACGAUCCAUAACUGGUCUGAGAGGAUGAUCACCGACACUGAGAGUGAGACACGGCCCAGACUCCUACGGGAGGCAGCAGUGGGGAAUAUUGGAAAAUGGGCGAAAGCCUGAUCCAGCAAUGCCGCGUGAGUGAUGAAGUCCUUAGGGUUGUAAAGCUCUUUUAACCGGGAUGAUAAUGACAGUACCGGGAGAAUAAGCUCCGGCUAACUCCGUG